UACGUAGGUGGCAAGCGUUGUCCGGAUUUACUGGGCGUAAAGAGCGCGCGGGCGGUCGUUCAAGUCGCGUGUGAAAGCCCCCGGCUCAACUGGGGAGGGUCACGCGAUACUGAUCGACUCGAAGGCAGGAGAGGGUAGUGGAAUUCCCGGUGUAGUGGUGAAAUGCGUAGAUGUCGGGAGGAACACCAGUGGCGAAGGCGACUACCUGGCCUGUUCUUGACGCUGAGGCGCGAAAGCUAGGGGAGCAAACGGG
rnacentral:rRNA from 1 species